rnacentral:lncRNA from 1 species
CACAAACUGUCAGCAAGCUACAAGCUCUAAUAGGCGCAAGCGAGCAAAUGCCCGUCCAAAUUAAUCGGCUAGCAUAACUGCUGUUUUGUCUGCAACCUGGUCGGGCACAUCGCCGCAGGUGCCCAGCCUUCAAGUAAGAAGAUUCAAGAUGUCAGCGCUGAGGCGCAGCACCUGGCAGCUUUGUUACUUCCGUACAAUUACUACCAGAGCGGCGUCGCGCGCGCCCGGCAGGAGGAGUUCAUCCUUCGGGGUCGGCAAGCCAGGGAGCUCGCGGCGCUGGGUCUGCCACCCGUUUACGAACACGCCAAGGGUAACAAACGCCGUGGUGUGACGUGAUGUGAUGUGAUUCGAAACCCAAAAGCGCUUCAAUACCCAAAUCGUCCGCACACCUCAGUACCUGCGGGUCCAGAUAUAAUGUUCCGAACAUUCAUCACCACCAAAAGAACCCAAAUGACGGUCCUUCCUCUGACCUGGCGGCGCUCGGGUCCUCCACUGUCCUGCCCUCAACCUGCUACUGCUGCUACCGCUGCUCAAGGACUCUUGGUGGGCAUACAAGUGUCGACGCAACCAGAGGGAGCACCAACACCAGCAGCAGUAUCAGCAGCAGCAGGGGGCACUACAGACAGCAACAACAACAAGAGCAAGAGCAAG